GGGGCCGGGAGCCGCCACCGGGCCGGGAGAGCGGUGCGGCCUCGGGCCGGGGCUGUUACCGAGGGCCGGGGGUGCCCGGGUUUGUGCCGGGCUGUGCGAGCUCAGAGAACCCCGCUCUUGUUUUCCCUUGCAGCGAGAAGGCUGUAUGUGCGGAGGUGCAGGCGGAGGGAAGCGCUGCGUUGCGAAAAUCCCCUCCGACACCUGGAGAGGACUUGGUCGCGUUCCCUCCCACCCCUUUAGCUCUGCUUCACUUCCUCGUUUCAUCUUUCGUUACCUAACAACUCCAGCCAAACAGUCGGAUCUCCCGUGCGCACCUGUCUGUCCUGCUGCUGCUGCUUUCGGAGAUGCCUUUUUCUUUGUUCUUUAUGGCGAUCGGUGCAAAGGCAGGUGGUUGUUGGGGAAGGCACGCCAAGGGCAGCACCUUCCCGCCGUGCCCGUCGUCGCUCCAAACUGUUACUUUGGAUUUGCAGCCUUGGCUGGGCUGAAACUUGCAGAGGGGUUUCAUUUCUGUAGGAGGGGCAGGUGUUGUGCUUGUGUUGCCUUCAGAAGUACACUAUCUGAAGAAAGAGAGCUCUUGCCACUUUUCAACACUUUCCUUUUUAACCAUUUUCCUGGGUACUUCAGGCAGCUGUCCAUCUCCUGUGGAAUUCCUAUCUGUGCAUACUGCGUGUUGCAUAAAUCUCUUUACGUGAUCGAACUUCAUGUGGUGCCACAUGGAACCACCUGCCUGCAUUCACACUGUCACUCUGUGCAGGUCUGUGCUGCUGAGUAUCUCUCUGUCCCACCAGAUCUGCAGAGAAGCAGCAUCUCACCCAGCUCACAUCAAGACCGCUCCUCUGUUUGCAUGCAGUUAAGCUUCUCUCGAGGGAACUUUUUCUGCUGCGAAGUAUAGAGAAUCAGCUUAGUUCUUCAGCAUGCAGCUGAACCCAGGAGGAACAAAACUGCUUGUUUCACCUUUCCCUAACUGCUUUUGUGCAGGCUAGACCAGGACAGGGGAUCAAUAGCCUGUGUCAGCUGAAGAUCCCUUAAAGAAAAGUAACCCCGGAUGCACAGUGCUUUAUUGCAGUAGUUGCAGAAAAAUCUUACAUGUAUUUUUGGAGAAAAUCUCAGGAAUACUAAUUCUCCAGACUGUGAGUAGUACCUUUUUUUUACAUCUAGCUUCCCCCACAGAAUACGUCCACGUGAAGAAUUGCAGCAAUAGAACUCAUUAUCUCUAUGUAGCCAAAGUCUAACUUGCCUGAAUACGCGUCCAUCAGUAUUUAUUUAGGCUUUCUGCAAAAAUGUCUCUAUUUACUGUCUGUUGGGAAUCAGGUCUCGUAUUCUUCUCGUUCAUUUCUGGACUAGCAGCAGUCUUAGCAAAUGCAUUGGAUGAGGAUUCUGGAGAGUCUUACCAGCUCUCCUGUGUAUCUCCAAAAUGCUUUUCCUGCUAUAGAUAGCUUUGGAGAUCAGUGCUUUUUGUUCCCAAUUAGUCACGCUGCUUCCUGCUUCUGGUGUAGGCUGCAGGAGCUGGUCCCCGGGCUGCUGGUCUCUGAGAAGCUGAAGCCAGACACAUGGACAGGGUGUCCCACUGGGAGUAUGCAAGGUUGGGGGUUUGGUUCAUCCUGAAGGCCAUACCCUAAUGCAGAUAUGAGUGGUGCAGAAGCUCAGUCGCAUGGAGAGAUGCUCUGCACACUGAAAAAUGAGUCUGUUGAGAACUGUGCCUGUUCACGUCUGACUGAUCAUUCACAUCCUAUUUCUGACUGGUUCUGGAAAGGAUAGGUAAGUGCUGUGAAUGCUACUAUGCUGGAGAGGAUUUCAGAGUCUUUAAAAGCUUAGAAAGUCAAAUACAUGUAAAAGAUUAUUUAUCUUCUGACACCUUGAAAGAAAAAUGCCCUUACAUAAUCCAGCACUUAAAUUUUUACAUUAGCAAGUUUUGUGCAUCAUGUCACACUGGAGCUGUUUUGUUUGCCCUCAUGAGAUUUUAAGAGACUUUUGUAUUUCUAACAUUUGCAGAUAUUGGCUGGAAGUUCAGUAAAAGUCCCGAUCAUUUUGCAAGCCCCUACACAUGGUUUGCUUACCAUCACUGACAGUGCUCUUGAAUUUCCUCUGCUUGGUGUCUAAAGGUUGAUGGUUACUAUAACGACUGACCCAGUCAGCUAAUAGUGAAGGCUGCUAUUGAUUCUAGAAGAAUUUCAGUGCCACUUAAGGAACCUUUAUUUUCUUCCCACAAAACUUGUGAGGAGCAAGCAUUGCUGUUUCAGAGAACUCUCAGUCCCAGUACUAGAUAAUUUCCUCAGCCCUAUUUAUUUUUUCAGUUUUACAGAGCAGUUGAAGCCUAACUGCUAAUCUGUCACUGCUGGAAGGUAUCUAGGGGAGAUCAACAAAAUUAGCUGUCCAAACACACAUCAGAUUCAGUUUAAUUACUUUUGAAAAUGUUGUCCAGUGAAAAGUUACAGUUGUGUUUUUCUUCACUGGCGGAAGGUGAUUUAAUGCGGACCACAGUUGAUAUGCUGCUGUGACUGUUUUAGGUGUCUGUUUUUGGAGUGGGGAGGGAAAGGAAAGAAUUGAAAUUUUGGACCACUGCAGCAAGUUGGCUGAGAUGGUCAUCUCAAAAAACGUGUUUUUUUAGAUAUCUUGAAAAUUGGCAUAUGGUUAGAGAAGGAGUACUCUGGGUAUUGCUGCCUCUGAAAGACGCACAGUGUGAGCUCAGUGUUAAUAUAGGGCACCAAAAUAAUGCUAAGCAGGGCUGGUCCAGAAGGAAGCUCCCCCCAGCAAUGCAAAAGCCUCAGCUGGAGCUUGUGAGUUCUUGUGCACCAAAAAGAAAAUCAUAGAAGUGGAGAGGAAUUGGAUGCAUCCCUACAGUUUAGGUGCAUGCAGCACCAGCUGUUACUAAUCUGUCCAUUAAACUUUCAGUGUUUCUUAGAAGGUCAUCUCUUAAGGAAAAUGCGCUACUAUCUCUCACUGGAUAAAGAUUUUUUUUUCUUAUAUUAGAGAAAAAAACUCAUUGCUUCUUUUACAUCAAAUGGCAAAAAGAUUUUUUUUUUUUGUGACCUCACCUCUGAAUUUCUUUUCCUCAGUACCAGGAUUUCUGGUUUCAGGGUGUCACACAAGUACCCACAAGGUACUCUUAGCAACUAGACAGGCUUUUUGUUCUGUAGACUUCUGUUUGAAAUCUGCUUUUCACUCCAAAUGCCCUUGAUCCACUAGAAUUCUGUUCAGAAAAUGCCACUCAGAUAUUUUUAAUACUAGGGUUUUUAUAGAUGCAAGGCAGGGAGUAAAAAGGGAAAACUAAUGUGCGAACUGAAGAGUUUAACAAAAUAAUAAUUUUCAAAUGAAGUCUUAAUCUUUUUAGAAAACAUAAAGCCCCCCCAUGUUUUCUUUUAUAACUUGAGACAUUCUAAAAAGCAGUGAGCUUUAGAGUGUAUAUCAGUCCGUAUGUUUCCGUAUGUUGUAUGGAUCCAGAUGUGUGGUGUGUGAAGGUAGGAUGAGGACUCAAUUAACAAUUGAGGUGGUGCUGUGAAGCUUUUCAGCUUCAGACUAGCCAUCUCUGAUUGCAUGUUCUGUAAUGUGAACUAUUCCAGCAGAUUAUCUUCUAGGGAGUGCAUAAAAAGGGUUUAAAAACUGGCAGAACAGUAGUUUACUGCCUCACCUUGAAAGGAAAUAAAUAAAUAAAUAAAAGAAUACUGUGUGCUGAAUUUGAAGCAUCAUGGAGUCAAGAGAUGGAUUACAGUACGCCAAGAUUAUAUAAACCUAGGACACUUUUCUCACAAAAAGUUUGAGCUGCUCUGCUGGAAGCAUUGUGGUGUGUGUAACUGUGGUUCAAAUAACAGUCACGGUGUUUUUUUUACUUACCUUUACUUUCCAGAGUUGGUAUUUUUGUCUCAGUGUUCGGUAAGUUUAGUUGCUACAUUAUAGAAUAAAAUGCCUUCAAGGUUGUUGUUUGGUCAUGUGAGGAGUCUGGAAAUGACUGAAACAAAUGACUGGAACAUAACUACUUCUUCCAUAGUGUGUGUUUGUUUUUUCCAGCGCCUCAUUCAUGUAUACUUAGUUUAUAUAUAGCAAGUAAACAUGAAUGUAUGGCGUUUUCAUGCGUUUAAAUUAAAUGUCAACUCUCAUAAUCUAAUGCUUAAUACAGCCGAGAAAGGCUUUUUUUCUUUUUCUUUUUUUUUUUUUUGGAAGAGCCUUUAAGUAGUUGUGAUUUAUGUCAUUGUUAUGUUAGUGUCUACUUGGAUUGCUUACAUUGUACUGGAUUUCUGGAAACCUGCAACUGCAGAAAGAAAUUCCUGAUUUGUUUAUAGUUAACACAACAAUUUGUUCUGGAUUAGCCCUCAGAUUGCAAAGCACUAUAUGGAUUCCUCAGUUGUGGUUAAAGUAACAGUGCUUUAAUGUGGUAAACAAAGAACUAGUAAGCAGUUUGUGGUAUUUUUAGUUUUGUUCAUCUGCAGAUAAAAUUCUCACCCCCAAAGCAGCAUUUCUUUAAAGCUUUGGGAAAGUGAUUUUUGCCUGUUUUACUUAUCAGGUGAAGAAAUAGUCAAGUCAUCUGCCAGAGAAGUAAUGGAAUACAUAACGCUUCAUCAUUGUCAUUCUAUGGCAGAUACAAAGGCAGCCUUUGGAAGGCUGCUGUCCUCAUAUUACAAAAGUGAGGGGUCUAAACUGCUAGGAGAGAAGGUUUGGGAGGUAUAAGCAAAAUGGUUCCUUGCUAAAGCAGCCCACUAGGGUGCUGCAGCAUGGAGAAUGACAUACAGAACUAAUAGAAACACAGCAUGCAUAAAGGCCAGGCGCUGGGAACAGUUUGUGAAGUUACUCAUGUCCCAGACUUGGACAAGAAAGAAGGAACUGGGCUUAAUGCCUGCAGCCUGCAACUCAGUGGUACUUUGAAAUGGGAUCAUGCCACAAAAAAAAAGGGUCUGCUCAAGACACAGCUUAAAUCUCUGGGGCUUCUUCAGCCUUGGCUGAAACCAACAGGGGCUUCAGCUCUGUGCUUUCAUACAGCAGGAGUCUGGAUCUGAGGACAACAGCCAUCACAGUGUCAGAUCAUGCCCACCUUCAGCUUCUGUCAGAUGAAGACCAAUUACCCAGACAACAGUGACCACUCACAAGUUUCACUGCUGUAUUUAUUUUACCAGUGAUCCUGCCUUUAUGGGAUUCACCAGGCCUCUUAGCCUUUUCAAAUUUCUUAAAGCUGAAACAUGUUUCUCCUACUUGCUUCUGCACUACAAAUACCAAAAUGCAUCAAAACUGACCCUCUAUGCUUUUGUUAGAGAAAAAGAUUGUGUAGUCAUCAAAUUUAGAAAAAAAUGAGUCCAAUUUACAUCUUCACUGGAGAAAACCAGGCUCACUGAAUAGAUGUUUUGUUUGAUUAGGGUGUGGUUGAAGCUUUUGAUAGCAAUAUGACAGGCUUCAGCAGAAUCAUGCCUGCAGUAUGAGAGCAUGAACCCAUCUGGGGUCACUCAGACCAGGUAGCCCGACCUAACAAGAGCUCUGAAGCCCUCUUUGAAGCAAACCCAAGCUGUGCUUGGUCAUAAGCAAAGAAACUUCAAAACACCUUCACUGAUCUUCCAGGUAAUUGUGCUUGUUAGCACCACUUUGCUGGGGUGCAGGGUGCUAAGUCCCAUGAAUUGCCUAGGGUCUCCUCCCCAGAUACAAUGCUUACACAUUCCAAUAGACUCUCUGCACAAGAACUCAUGGUGCUGCUCUGAGGAACAAAGGUGCAGAUGUGGGCAGGGGAAAAAUCACGACACUGCAGACAGAUACAGCACUACUCACUGCUGGGCUAUUUCUCAAAUUUACAGAAUCCAUCUGGAACAGGAAGGAGAAAAGAAAAAAAUGUAUGUAUUUGCUACACAGAGACCCCUUAGCACAAAGGUCUAAUUUGCUAAAAUUUGGAUUUUCAAUCAUACUUUCUGGAGCACUAACUGACCUUGCUUUACAACCAAAAAGAAAUCCAAAGCAAAUAAACGCUACACUCAAAAAACCUACAGGGUUACAAGGUCAGGGCUCCCAUUUGCGUCUCCUUUGGAUAUGUACACUGAACAAAACACUGUCACCAACUGAGUGCCUGACUAGCAGACACUUACUGCAGCAUAUGUUUUUCAGACUGCUAAUUUCACAGAUUAUUUACUUCCACACAUGAAAUACAAACUCCAGCUUAAUGCCUGCGGCCUGCAACUCACUGGUACUUUGAAAUGGGAAACUUGGUUCAUGUUUAAAGCUUUGUAGAGAACUUAAACCUUGAGCCCAGGUCUUCAUUUUGGACAACCGUGUGUUUCUUUGCUACUUCAGCUAAGGGAAAUGGUCAUUACUAAAGUCAUACUGUAAGCAAGACAUUGAGUUGGUGAAUUGCACUUUUUAAAUUAAGUCAGUGUGUUUGUUGUAAGUUCAUCCAGGACCUGUAUCUUAGUCAAGCUGUGGUGUGGGAAUCUAUAUGAAAAUGGGAUUAGAUUCAGCUGUCUGGCACUGCUUGUUCUUGGAAGGCAGUGCAGCCUUGUAUAAAAGCACAGAAGUGAAUAGCUGGAAAUGCCUUUUCAAAGCUUCUGGCACAGACAGAUUUCUCUACGCAAACUCAAGGAGAAAUUUUUUUCUGCUCUGCAGAGUGGGAAGGGGAAACAGUGACAGCGUCAUCUUGGAAUACUUCAGGUUAGAUGGAAGCAGAAGAGGUGAUCUAGUCUAGCCUACUGCUCCAAGCAGGAUCUUUUUCAUUAGCAAUGUAUUUACUAACUCCUUUCACUUAAUAGCAUCUUUUUUUUUCUUCUUCCAAAAUUCAGCUUAAUCUGCACAUAGACAUGUAUUUGGCAUACCAGCACCAAUUGAACAGACUAAAUAAUGAGGUGGAAAAUAUAUGCAGAAAGAGGUGGUGACUGAAUUACUUCAAUGGAAGCUCAUUAAAAAAAAAAAAAAAAGAUAAUGAGGCAGUGGUCUUACCUGCCUCCUCAUUCAGGUCUUACCCAUGUGAACUUCAGAUGUUCGCACAAUCUGAAGAGUGUCCUGAGAUUAAGUAUUUGAAUUAUUUUGCUUCCAAGAAGAAUGGUGCUAGAACGCAACUGCUCACCACAGUUUGUCUUGCUACUGAUACGGUUUUGAAAACUUUGGUCUAUGAACCAAGGGCCAAUAUUGAAGGCAGUAGGUGGCUUUAACUUAAGUUUUGCUUUGUUUUUGAUGCAAGGGAAGUGCUACCUUUGUUACCAUUUGGCAGUCUUCCGUUUUGGCUCAAAUGCAGUUUGAAGGUUAAUGCUAUAAGUCUUUCAGAGAUACCUGUGUUAAUUAAGCAUUCGUGUUGCUUUUUCCAUUGUCCUCUCUAUGUAUAGCAUGAAGUUUAGGUAAGUAACUAUUUGAGCGCUUUCAUCACAUGCUGGAGGAGGAUAUUACUAAAACUGUUUUAUGUGGAUCUACCCAGAGUCUAAAACGCAUGAAUUUAGAGAAGUGUCUGCAGUGGCAUAGAGGUCAGUGUACCAUAUUUGUUUGCAUGAUUGUAUGCAGCCCUGGAGGUUGAUUACUGUGACAGUGUAAUUACUUUAAUUGGUGAAUGUAAGCUGGCUGGGAUUUAUACAGAGAUGUAACUAAAGGGACACUUAUAAAAGCAUGUAUAUUUAUAAUGAGACAAAAUAGGUUUUAUAUAGUUUCUGUUUACAUUAGUCACUACAGUAAGUGCUCUUGAUUAACUGUUCCAUUUUCUGUCUUACAGCUUGCCUUGAAGGGAUCUAAUUACGCUGGUCUAUUAGAACGGCAUCGCGUUCAUACAAAAAAUGUGGAGCAUGUUGUAGACAGUUUACGGAGCGAGAAGAUAGAAGUCCGUCUUGUUAAACGUCGAGAAUAUAAUGAAGAGACAGUUCGAUGGGCAGAUGCUGUUAUAUCUGCGGGAGGUGAUGGUACAAUGCUGUUGGCAGCCAGUAAGGUCUUUGAUAAAUUUAAACCAGUUAUUGGAGUAAAUACUGAUCCUGAAAGAUCAGAGGGUCACCUGUGCUUGCCUGUGAGAUAUACACAUUCAUUUCCUGAAGCACUACAGAAGCUUUAUCGUGGUGAGUUCAGGUAUGAUCCACUGAUUUUUUUUUUUGUUUGUUUGUUUUGUUUUGUUUGUUUUACAAUACAUUGAUUGGAUAAUGUUUAAUAAUGUGUGAUCUAUAAGGAAGAAGUGAUGCUUAGAAUAAUGCUUAAUAAUGUGUGAUCUGUAAGGAGGAAGUGAUGCUUAGUAAAAUCAUAAUGGUUCAAAUUAUUAAUUCUGUGUAAAUGUUUACUGUAUUGAAAAACAUAUGGUUCAGAGUGGUGCUGGACUGUAAAGGAUAAAGUUAGCUACUGGUUCCUGGGAAAAAAAGGCAUUUGGCAUGACCUUCACCAAUUGAUUUUCUUUUCUGACUUAGCAAAUGCAUAAACAAGGGAUGGUAGUCUUAUGAUGGGUGUGUUGCUUUAUGUAUUUCAACACUCACAAACAAUGUACAGUGUACAAUUGUACAUAGUACAGUGCCUGGUAAUGCUAAUAGAAGCUGCUGAAGCCUACACAGUUAGGAAAUGGUAAGUUUGCUGUAGAUGGUUUUGGUGAUUAAGGUAUAGUGACUUAAAUUUUGUUACUAGAGUAGUCUUAGGGAAAGCUUUUCUUUAUUAUAAAGGUAACUCAAUGCUUUCAAUACUAGAUAUUCUCAAAAUAGUUAAACUCUCUUGAACUAAGGAGGAAGCAAUUUGAAUUUUAAAGGACAAACUAAGGGACAGUUUUUCACAGUCUCCUAUUUAAAACAAGAGAUAUUGUUCUGUGGUAUCCUCGUUUUAUGAUUUUUGAUUCGUAUUCCACAUCAUAACAUCACGCAGUGCACUGUCAGUUGCCAGACUGCCCUCUUUGCUCCCUAGCCGUCUUGCCUACAGCAUUAGAGUAAGGACUUCAGUUUUGGAAACUCUUUAUUUGAUUUAUUAGCUUCCAAUCCUACUGUAUUAUAUUAUCUCACAUUCCACUGUUAUAUUUAGUAAACUAAGUUGUUUUUUUUCUCUUAGCUUGUUGCCACUGUUUUCCUUGUUAGGCCCAUCUCACUACCUUUUUUUUUCCUUCCCUUCCUCCGUUUCCUUUUCCAGGGUGUGGGUCUGUGGGUCCCUUCACUCCUUAUCACUGAACUAGACUGAACCAGGCCACACGGUGAUAUGUGGUGUGUUAACAUUCCAGAAAUAGUUCUGUGAUGGCAAGCAGUCAAACAGAAGCAACUCAUUCACAUUAUAAUAUAUUGUAAUUAUUUUUUGUUAUACUUCUAGAAUACUUAAUUUGUAGCUUGAAGCAUUCUCGCAUUUGUGCCAUGAAAAAUUCUAGAAUGAGGUGAAUAUAGACAUCAGGUUUGAUUAUACUUAAUUAAAGGAGUUUCAGUACUUGUUACUAAAUGAAACUGUAUUUUCAAAUCAAAUGUCGUCAGGCUUAGAAAGCAGAAGCUUUUAACUUUCCAUCUUGCUAAGUUGUUUUGUUAAAGCUGUUAAAGUCCCUUGCUAUUCUAGCCACUUGUAACAUUUUGUUGGAUGGCAUGUUGAAAUUUUUAUUGUUUUGCUCCUGUUGUUGCACUAACAGGACUAAAGCCUCACCAGAGCAAAACAGAAAAGAUCUUUCUGAUUAUUGCUUCAGAGUAAGUUUGAAAACUGAUAUUCCUAAGCAAGGACUUGAGUGGUUGUUCUCUGAUUUAUUUAAGCAUAAGGAAUCACAGAAUCACAGAAUGGCCAAGGUUGGAAGGGACCUCAAGGAUCA